ACACAGGAUCCUUUUUUACAUAUAAUACCUGAUUGAUUAGCCAAUACCCAUUAUAUAAACAAAAUAGGAAAACGAAAGAAAAGAACAGAGGGAAGAAAAAAGGCACACAAGACGAUAUCCAAAUCUAUUGCUCGUCAUAAAUGAUCUUUCCAGGUUCCAGCUACAUAUCCGUGACAAAUAGGAUGUGAAGUCACAAACAUGUUCAUCAACAGCUACCUCUCUGUGAUCACUAGUGAUCACAAACAUGAUCACUACUAUUACUGCUACUGCUACAACUACAGAAAAUAUAACAUAUUGUACCCAAUAAUAUAAUAUAAUAAAAUAUAAAUCCGUGUUCAUUACCUAACAAUCUAAAGAGUUCCUCACAACCCAACAAGAGAUAUCGCACACAUGAUGCAACAAGAUAAGAGAACUAGCUCAUAGUCAUGCGUAUGGCAAAUAAAAUUAUGAAAGAGUAGUUUCUGAUGAGUUUUAUCCUCAUUCUUGUUCUUUAAUUGAAAUGGGUGGUAA
rnacentral:misc_RNA from 1 species